rnacentral:rRNA from 1 species
AUUGAACGCUGGCGGCAGGCCUAACACAUGCAAGUCGAGCGAGCGGCGGACGGGUGUGUAAUGUAUGGGGACUGCCCGUUAUCGGGGGAUAACUCCUUGAAACGGUUGCUAAUACCGCAUACUAUCCGAUUCCCCAUAUGCUUUUCGCUAGUAGGUGAGGUAAUGGCUCACCUAGGCGACGCUCCCUAGCUGGUCUGAGAGGAUGAUCAGCGACACGGGGACUGAGACACGGCCCAGACGCCUACGGAGGCAGCAGUGGGGAAUAUUGCACAAUGGGCGCAAGCCUGAUGCAGCCAGUCCGCGUGUAUGAAGAAGGCCCUAGGGUUGUAAAGUACUUUCAGUCGGGAGGCGUUACCGACAGAAAAAGCAACGGCUAACUACGUGCCAGCAGCCGCGGUAAUUC